rnacentral:rRNA from 1 species
GGGUUUGAUCCUGGCCCAGGACUAACGCUGGCGGCGUGCCUUAGGCAUGCAAGUGGAACGACCCUGAGAGCAAUCGAAGGGAAGUCGCGAACGGCUGAGUAAUAGAUAGGAAUCUACCCCUUGGUGGAGAAUACCCAUCCGAAAGGAUGGUUAAUACUGCAUAAGAUCUACGGAUGAAAGGGCAUAACUGCCCGCCGAUGGAUGAGCCUAUCUCCUAUCAGCUUGUUGGUAGGGUAAAAGCCUACCAAGGCUAUGACGGGUAGGGGACGUGAGAGCGUGACCCCCCAGAAGGGAACUGAGAUACGGUCCUUACACCUACGGGUGGCAGCAACCGGGAAUCGUGCGCAAUGGACGAAAGUCUGACGCCGCGACGCCGCGUGGAGGAUGAAGGCCUUAGGGUUGUAAACUCUUUUUGCCACAAGGGAGACCUUGUGGAGAAUAAGCACCCGCUAACUACGUGCCAGCAGCUGCGGUAAUACGUAGGGUGCGAGCGUUGUCCGGAUUUAUUGGGCGUAAAGAGUCUGUAGGUGGUCUAGAAAGUCACUUUUCAAAUACCGAGGCUUAACUUCGGAAAGGGAGGUGAUACUGCUAGACUUGAAGAGUGCAGGGGCUACUGGAACUUGUGGUGUAGGGGUGAAAUCCGUUGAUAUCACAAGGAACUCCAAGGGCGAAGGCGGGUAGCUGGGCACUAUUUGACACUGAGAGACGAAAGCUAGGGUAGCGAAAGGGAUUAGAGACCCCUGUAGUCCUAGCCGUAAACUAUGCUCGCUAGCUGGUUGCAAUUUAUUGUGGCUGGCGUAAGCUAACGCGUUAAGCGAGCCGCCUGGGGAGUACGAUCGCAAGAUUAAAACUCAAAGGAAUUGACGGGAAUCUGCACAACCAGUGGAUUAUGUGGUUUAAUUCGAGACGAACCGAAGAACCUUACCUGGACUUGACAUCCUGAUGACAACUCUAGAGAUAGAGUCUUUCAAUAUUUUAUUGAACAUCAGUGACAGGUGCUGCAUGGCCGUCGUCAGCUCGAGUCGUGGGAUGUUCCUUUAAGUAGGGAAUCGAGCGCAACCCUUGCUGCAUGUUGAAUAUUCAUGCGGGACUGCCCCGCUUAGCGGGGAGGAAGGAGAGGAUGACGUCAGGUCAGCAUGGCCCUUAUGUCCAGGGCUACACACAUAAUACAAUGGGGAGGACAAUGGGUUGCCAAACCGUAAGGUGGAGCUAAUCCCACAAACCUCCUCUCAGUUGGGAUUGAGGGCUGCAAUUCGCCCUCAUGAACGCGGAAUUGGUAGUAAUCGCGAAUCAGCUAAGUCGCGGUGAAUACGUUCCCAGAUUUUGUACACACCGCCCAUCAAGUUAGUGAAGUUGGGGGUACCCGAACACCUAGUGAUUAGGUGGAAGGUAAAUCCAGCGACAAGAAUUAAGUUGUAACAAGGUA